CUACGUGCCAGCAGCCGCGGUAAUACGUAGGGCGCGAGCGUUGUCCGGAAUUAUUGGGCGUAAAGAGCUUGUAGGCGGUUUGUCGCGUCUGCUGUGAAAGGCCGGGGCUUAACCCCGUGUAUUGCAGUGGGUACGGGCAGACUAGAGUGCAGUAGGGGAGACUGGAAUUCCUGGUGUAGCGGUGGAAUGCGCAGAUAUCAGGAGGAACACCGAUGGCGAAGGCAGGUCUCUGGGCUGUAACUGACGCUGAGAAGCGAAAGCAUGGGGAGCGAACAGGAUUAGAUACCCUGGUAGUCCAUGCCGUAAACGUUGGGCACUAGGUGUGGGGAACAUUCCACGUUCUCCGCGCCGUAGCUAACGCAUUAAGUGCCCCGCCUGGGGAGUACGGCCGCAAGGCUAAAACUCAAAGAAAUUGACGGGGGCCCGCACAAGCGGCGGAGCAUGCAGAUUAAUUCGAUGCAACGCGAAGAACCUUACCAAGGCUUGACAU
rnacentral:rRNA from 1 species